rnacentral:rRNA from 1 species
GAUGAACGCUGGCGGCGUGCCUAAUACAUGCAAGUCGAGCGAACAGAUGAGGAGCUUGCUCCUCUGACGUUAGCGGCGGACGGGUGAGUAACACGUGGAUAACCUACCUAUAAGACUGGGAUAACUUCGGGAAACCGGAGCUAAUACCGGAUAAUAUAUUGAACCGCAUGGUUCAAUAGUGAAAGACGGUUUUGCUGUCACUUAUAGAUGGAUCCGCGCCGCAUUAGCUAGUUGGUAAGGUAACGGCUUACCAAGGCGACGAUGCGUAGCCGACCUGAGAGGGUGAUCGGCCACACUGGAACUGAGACACGGUCCAGACUCCUACGGGAGGCAGCAGUAGGGAAUCUUCCGCAAUGGGCGAAAGCCUGACGGAGCAACGCCGCGUGAGUGAUGAAGGUCUUCGGAUCGUAAAACUCUGUUACUAGGGAAGAACAAAUGUGUAAGUAACUAUGCACGUCUUGACGGUACCUAAUCAGAAAGCCACGGCUAACUACGUG